UUGGCAUAUAAAUGGCCUUGCCUCCUCGGGUGUACUGCGUGGAGUCAGCAUUAGGGAAAGGAGUCAUGCCCUGCUGGCACUGACACACAUCGAAGGCUUGGUGGCCCUGGUGUAGGGGGGGUGUUCACACAGCACUCAGCCUGGCAGCUGGUUUCUAUCCCAUAUGCAGCCCAACCUACGCAAAACCCACACGCAAGAGUGCUUUCUGUAAGGAGCCCCUGCUCUAGCCUGGGGGACCCCCCCCCAAGUUGAGAGUGCUGGAAAACUGGAUGACUGCCCAGUUCUGGGAGAGCUGUCUCCUGGGAUGCCUACUCGAGAGAGCACCUAUCAAGGCGGAGGAGAGACUGUCAGGAGCAGCUCAGGAUGCUUUGUGGAAGCCGGCCUCCCGGGACCAAUCCCCGAAGCACAGCACUGCCUGUGAUUGUUGCGGCUUCUUCCCACCUCGCCAUCAGCCCACACAGUCUCUAGAACCAAACACAUCUUUCGAUUCUUUUGUUUUAAGA